rnacentral:rRNA from 1 species
UACAGAGGUCUCAAGCGUUGUUCGGAUUCAUUGGGCGUAAAGGGUGCGUAGGCGGUGUGGUAAGUCUGUUGUGAAACCUCCAGGCUCAACUUGGAGCUUGCAUCAGAAACUGCCGUGCUAGAGUGUGGGAGAGGAGAGUGGAAUUCCUGGUGUAGCGGUGAAAUGCGUAGAUAUCAGGAGGAACACCGGUGGCGAAAGCGGCUCUCUGGACCACAACUGACGCUGAGGCGCGAAAAGCUAGGGGGAGCAAACAGGG